AUGAAUGGGGGAGCUUUCUGCCACGGUAACGUAUUUAUAUGUAAAUAUCUACUGCACACCUAGACUUCAGCAGCAAACUGACUGUUGAAAGUCAAACAAUCCUGUAAUAUGGACCACAGGCACAGACAGUCUCCGGCAGAGACCACUGAGCCAAAAGACACAACUGCCUGGAAGACUUUCAGUCAUCUUGGGGCAUGAUUCUUGAAGACCUGCACUGUAAGUCUUUAAAGUUAUUGUAAAGGUUCAUGGUGGUGAUGCAAGUAAAUAAGGACUCAGCUUAGCAGGAGGGAUACUUAUGGGCUUGCAGUUUUGUCUUAUGUCUUAUUUUGUCUUAUUGCUUUAUUAAAUAGCAUUUUUAUUGGGUUUACAACCAGUAGAUUACAUAUCUAAUUAUAGUAUAGUAUAGUUAAGUAAAAUGUAUACUGCUAUACUAACAGUUUUCUAUUGUAAGAUGUAACUGACAAGGAAAAAUCCUCAGUUCAACCCAUCCAGACUGGGAAUCAUCUUGGAGGGGAGUGUGGUGAUGGAUGAACUGGCCAAUCUGCCUCAGAUUUUCUAUUUUUGGACUGGUCAACGCACGCCACCUGGACUACCCUGAAUACACGAAAAACCUUUUGUUCAGCAGCUGCUGUAAUGCUCAGUCUGGGUAAAAGUGAGCUUUCUCCUAAAAUUCAAAAACACUGAAAAAUCAACCCAUGGCUAGUUCUGAUAUUUCAUUUCUUAGUUUGUGAUGUUACACUAUAUACAUAGUAUAUGGUAUGGCAUAGUUACAGUAUGUCUGGUUGGGAGUUGCAUUGCAUUGGGGUUGUUUAAUGUUUAUUAUAUUCAAAUGACUGAUGCAUGGUAGAUAUGUCUUAUAACCUUUAUUACUUUUGGCUAAGCAAAAUUAAAGGCAGGGGGUCCUCCUGCUCUUGAAACAGUCUGGUAAAUACUGAUUUUGAAUUUUAAAUAAAGUAGAACAAGAAUA